CCAAUUUUUAGAAUGACUGCUUUUAAUUUUUCUCCAUUUAGAAUGAUGUUGGCCUGGGGCUUAGAAUAUAUAGCUUUUACAAUGUUGAGAUAUGUUCCUACUGUCCCUAGUUUUUUUAGUGUUUUGAACAUGAAUGGAUGCUGUAUUUUGUCAAAUACUUCUUCUAUAUCUAUUGAGAUAAUCAUAAGAUUCUUGUCUUUAUGUCUAUUGAUGUGAUAAAUUACAUUUAAUAAUUUCUGUAUGUCAAACCAACUUUGUAUCCCUGGGAUGAACCCCACUUGACCAUGGUUCUAUCUUUUAAAUAUGUUUUUGUAUGGAUUUGCCAGUAUUUUAUUAAGAAUUUUUGCAUUUAUAUUCAUCAGAGAUACUGGUCUGAAAUUUUCUGUCCUUGAUGUGUCUUUGUCUGGUUUUGGUAUCAGGGUGAUACUAGCUCCAUAGAAUGAGUUUGGAAGAGUUCUCUCCUUUUCUAGAUCAUGGAAUAAUUUGAGGAGGAUUGGUAUUAGUUCUUCUUUGAAGGUCUGGUAGAACUCAGCUGAGAAUCUAUAUGGUCCUGGGCUUUCUUGGUAGGCUUUUGAUGGUGUCUUCAAUGUCAUUGCUUGAAAUUAAUCUGUUUAAAUUUCACAGAGGCCUUUAAAGCCAUCUCAUGCAGCUUUUCAAAGGAUAAGGGGAAAAAGCAAAUUUCCUAGCCCCCUGAAAAAAAAGGAGGGAGCAGGAGAGAAGCUGAAGGAUCCUGGGGGACAAGGCAGCACCCCCUGGCCUGUAGUAUUCAGGCUGGAAGCUGAUCCUUACCACAAAGCUCUGGAACAGAAAUGACAAUGAUUCAGAACUCAGCCAAAAAGAAGUGCAAAGAUGAU
rnacentral:lncRNA from 1 species